rnacentral:rRNA from 1 species
UACGUAGGCAGCAAGCGUUGUUCGGAGUUACUGGGCGUAAAGGGCUCGUAGGCGGCCAACUAAGUCAGACGUGAAAUCCCUCGGCUUAACCGGGGAACUGCGUCCGAUACUGGUUGGCUUGAGUUUGGGAGAGGGAUGCGGAAUUCCAGGUGUAGCGGUGAAAUGACGUAGAUAUCUGGAGGAACACCGGUGGCGAAGGCGGCAUCCUGGACCAAUACGUGACGCUGAGGAGCGAAA